rnacentral:rRNA from 1 species
UACGGAGGGAGCUAGCGUUGUUCGGAAUUACUGGGCGUAAAGCGCGCGUAGGCGGCUUUGUAAGUUAGAGGUGAAAGCCCGGGGCUCAACCCCGGAAUUGCCUUUAAGACUGCAUCGCUAGAAUCCAGGAGAGGUGAGUGGAAUUCCGAGUGUAGAGGUGAAAUUCGUAGAUAUUCGGAAGAACACCAGUGGCGAAGGCGGCUCACUGGACUGGUAUUGACGCUGAGGCGCGAAAGCUAGGGGAGCAAACGGG